CGUGUUGUGGUCUGUGAUGUAUCUCUGUGUCUGAUGAAAACAUGAGGUCACUCAGCAGUAUUCGUCACUACCACUGAGACCACAGCCUU
ensembl:snoRNA small nucleolar RNA SNORD70